rnacentral:rRNA from 1 species
UACGUAAGUGGCGAGCGUUAUCCGGAAUUACUGGGCGUAAAGCGUGCGUAGGCGGUUUAGUGUGUGGGAUUUGAAAGCCCGGGGCUCAACUCCGGAUCCGGAUCCCAAACUGCUAGACUCGAGAGUAUCAGAGGAGAGCGGAAUUCCCGGUGUAGCGGUAAUAUGCGUAGAUAUCAGGAGGAACACCGGUGGCGAAGGCGGCUUUCUGGACAGAAACUGACGCUGAGGCGCGAAAGCUAGGGGAGCAAACAGG